rnacentral:rRNA from 1 species
CCCUUAGAUGUCCUGGGCCGCACGCGCGCUACACUGAUGCAUUCAACGAGUCUACCUUGGCCGAGAGGCCUGGGCAACCUUUUAAACGUGCAUCGUGAUAGGGAUAGAUUAUUGCAAUUAUUAAUCUUGAACGAGGAAUUCCUAGUAAACGCAAAUCAUCAAUUUGCAUUGAUUACGUCCCUGCACUUUGUACACACCGCCCGUCGCACCUACCGAUUGAAUGGUCCGGUGAGGACUCGGGAUUUUUACCAGUUUCCUUCAUUGGGAAUUGGUGAGGAGAACUUGACCAAACCUUAUCAUUUAGAGGAAGGUGAAGUCGUAACA